rnacentral:rRNA from 1 species
GACGAACGCUGGCGGCGUGCUUAACACAUGCAAGUCGAACGAUGAAGCCGGAGCUUGCUCUGGGGAAUUAGUGGCGAACGGGUGAGUAACCCGUGAGUAACCUGCCCUUGACUCUGGGAUAACUGCUAGAAAUGGUAGCUAAUACCGGAUACGACCCUCGGAGGCAUCUUCAGGGGGUGGGAAGAAUUUCGGUCAAGGAUGGACUCGCGGCCUAUCAGCUAGUUGGUGAGGUAAUGGCUCACCAAGGCGACGACGGGUAGCCGGCCUGAGAGGGUGACCGGCCACACUGGGACUGAGACACGGCCCAGACUCCUACGGGAGGCAGCAGUGGGGAAUAUUGCACAAUGGGCGCAAGCCUGAUGCAGCAACGCCGCGUGAGGGAUGACGGCCUUCGGGUUGUAAACCUCUUUUAGUAGGGAAGAAGCGAAAGUGACGGUACCUGCAGAAAAAGCACCGGCUAACUACGUGCCAGCAGCCGCGGUAA